UCACUCUCGGUCCCUCCCUA
rnacentral:miRNA from 1 species